GUCAGAGUUUGCAUACAGAACCUUUCUUUGGUUUGACAGCGUUUAUGAUUGUUAUUAUUUCUUUUCAAAUGCAUAUGAACAGAGACAAUUAUUCGAAGUGAUAAUAAACACUGGAAAGCCAGACUUAUACGCUGCCCAAACUUACUGUGAUUUUUUACUAGAAACUCUACAGAAAAGUGGAUUGAGCUUGAACCCACACAAUUCUGGCAUUCACUGCUAUUCAUGGAUCAGAUUCAAACAAGCGAUGAUUCCCGAGUGGAUAUAGUGUCAUGAUGGAAUAUUACAGAAAGGAUGAAAUUGUUGCACAAUUUAUUCAAAUUUGGAUGAAAUCGGUGGUACGAAUUUGUUCGAAUUUAAGAUUGAAACACGGCUAUAUUCUAUCCUAUAUCUAAAUGUUUCAAUCUCAUCAAUCUUUUUGUUUGUAUUACUUAAAAUCGACACUACAGGACCACAGAAAUGGUUGCAGAUCAUUUCCUGCUGAACUUUUUGAAAUGGGUUUCUAGAUGCUGAUUAAUUGUUUUGCUUCUUGAAGUUUAGUAUGCUAGGCUACUAUUAGUGUGAUAUACCAAUUAUAACUUGUAAAUGCUAAGAUUUGUUAAAUUAUGAAUGAAAAAUUGUGAAUUCUAAACGCUUGAAGACUUUGGCGCUUGAAAACGAGAACUCAGAAUCUAAACUAGAAGAUGAAAAUGGUGCGAAAUCGACUGAACCACCCAAUGGCAAGUUGAUGAAAUUUUUGGUCUAAGGAAAAAGUGGAUAUGAUGAAUUGUUGAAUAGUUUGAUUAAAGUUAAUGUUGAAGGGACAACUAAGGUGACACAAGCUGGUGUUACCAGGGAUGCUGAAGAGGAAAAAAAUGGUUAUUGUGAAUAUUGGUUCUGGUGCUACUAUUGUUAUCCUUUGUGAUCCUUUUUAUGUUGUUUGUGUUGCAACAAAAGCUUAAGUUUCUAAUUUUUUAAUCGGAUUUGAUUGC
rnacentral:lncRNA from 1 species